rnacentral:tRNA from 1 species
GGAGGGGUACCGAAGUGGACACAACGGAGCCGCCUCGAAAACGGUUAGCCUCGCAAGGGGCACGUGAGUUCGAAUCUCACCCCCUCCGCCA